rnacentral:lncRNA from 1 species
GUAAAAAAUACUAAAUCAACUAAGAUAAUUGCCUUCAAAACUUACUAAGAUUCUAAUUCUACAACUAACAUUCAAAUUUUUUAUUUUUCUAAAGAUUUCUAUACUAUUCAUAUAAUAUUGUGGUUUCAAGCACUCUAAAUACAUCUUUUUAUUCUAAAACAACUAAUAAAUUGAUUUGAUGACUGACACAUGGCGACCAUUUGGGACGACUUACAAAAGAGAAGAAUCUAGAAUUGAUUGUGUAAAAUCUGCUAUUUUAAAAGUAAUAUAGCCACAAAAGCUAUCAAUUUUUUUAA